rnacentral:rRNA from 1 species
CCUACGGGGGGCUGCAGUGAGGAAUAUUGGUCAAUGGGCGCAAGCCUGAACCAGCCAUCCCGCGUGAAGGAUGAAGGCCCUAUGGGUUGUAAACUUCUUUUGUACGGGAAAAAACCUCCGGUCGAGUAUCGGAGCUGAUGGUACCGUAAGAAUAAGCAUCGGCUAACUCCGUGCCAGCAGCCGCGGUAAUACGGAGGAUGCAAGCGUUAUCCGGAUUCAUUGGGUUUAAAGGGUGCGCAGGCGGACUAGUAAGUCAGUGGUGAAAGCCUACAGCUUAACUGUAGAACUGCCAUUGAUACUGCUAAUCUUGAGUGUUGUUGAGGUAGGCGGAAUGUGUCAUGUAGCGGUGAAAUGCUUAGAUAUGACACAGAACACCGAUCGCGAAGGCAGCUUACCAAGCAACAACUGACGCUCAUGCACGAAAGCGUGGGGAUCAAACAGGAUUAGAUACCCUGGUAGUC